UACGGUAGGGACCAAGCGUUGUUCGGAUUUACUGGGCGUAAAGGGCGCGUAGGCGGCUUGACAAGUCACUUGUCGAAAUCUCUGGGCUUAACCCAGAACGGCCAAGUGAAACUGUCGAGCUAGAGUGUAGAAGGGGCAAUCGGAAUUCUUGGUGUAGCGGUGAAAUGCGUAGAUAUCAAGAGGAACACCUGAGGUGAAGACGGGUUGCUGGUCUAACACUGACGCUGAGGCGCGAAAGCCAGGGGAGACAAACGGG
rnacentral:rRNA from 1 species